rnacentral:rRNA from 1 species
AGAUUGAACGCUGGCGGCAGGCCUAACACAUGCAAGUCGAGCGGCAGCACGGGUACUUGUACCUGGUGGCGAGCGGCGGACGGGUGAGUAAUGCCUAGGAAUCUGCCUGAUAGUGGGGGAUAACGUUCGGAAACGGACGCUAAUACCGCAUACGUCCUACGGGAGAAAGUGGGGGAUCUUCGGACCUCACGCUAUCAGAUGAGCCUAGGUCGGAUUAGCUAGUUGGUAGGGUAAAGGCCUACCAAGGCUACGAUCCGUAACUGGUCUGAGAGGAUGAUCAGUCACACUGGAACUGAGACACGGUCCAGACUCCUACGGGAGCAGCAGUGGGGAAUAGUUGGACAAGUGGGACGAAAGCCUGAUCCAGCCA